GCAAGUCGAACGGUGGUAGCAAUACCAUAGUGGCGCACGGGUGCGUAACACGUAACUAACCUACCUAUAACUGGGGGAUAGCCCGCCGAAAGGCGGAUUAAUACCGCAUAAGCUCUUUAGCUGGCAUCAGCUGAUUAGUAAAGAUUUAUUGGUUAUAGAUGGGGUUGCGGGUCAUUAGCUAGUUGGUAGGGUAACGGCUUACCAAGGCGACGAUGACUAGGGGAGCUGAGAGGCUGGUC
rnacentral:rRNA from 1 species